AGAGAGGUGGCAGAGUGGUCGAUUGCGGCGGUCUUGAAAACCGUUGACUGUUAAAGGUCCGGGGGUUCGAAUCCCUCCCUCUCUG
rnacentral:tRNA from 2 species